rnacentral:rRNA from 1 species
GACGAACGCUGGCGGCGUGCUUAACACAUGCAAGUCGAACGGAAAGGCCCUGCUUUUGUGGGGUGCUCGAGUGGCGAACGGGUGAGUAACACGUGAGUAACCUGCCCUUGACUUUGGGAUAACUUCAGGAAACUGGGGCUAAUACCGGAUAGGAGCUCCUGCUGCAUGGAGGGGGUUGGAAAGUUUCGGCGGUUGGGGAUGGACUCGCGGCUUAUCAGCUUGUUGGUGGGGUAGUGGCUUACCAAGGCUUUGGAGGGUAGGCGGCCUGGGAGGGUGACCGGGCACAAUGGGACUUGGGUACGGCCCAGACUGCUACGGGAGGCAGCCGGGGGGAAUAUUGCACAAUGGGCGGAAGCCUGAUGCAGCAACGCCGCGUGCGGGAUGACGGCCUUCGGGUUGUAAACCGCUUUCGCCUGUGACGAAGCGUGAGUGACGGUAAUGGGUAAAGAAGCACCGGCUAACUACGUG